AAUGGGGUGGACAAAGGGCUGCAACACGGUGACGUGAAGCUAAUCCCAAAAACCAUCUCUCAGUUCAGAUCGUAGUCUGCAACUCGACUACGUGAAGCUGGAAUCGCUAGUAAUCGUAUAUCAGCAAUGAUACGGUGAAUACGUUCCCGGACCUUGCACACACCGCCCGUCAAGCCAUGGGAGUCGGGUGUACCUAAAGUCGGUAACCGUAAGGAGCUGCCUAGGGUAAAAUCGAUGACUGGGGCUAAGUCGUAACAAGGUAGCCGUACCGGAAGGUGCGGCUGGAAUACCUCCUUU
rnacentral:rRNA from 1 species